rnacentral:rRNA from 1 species
CAUGAAGCUGGAAUCGCUAGUAAUCGCGGAUCAGAAUGCCGCGGUGAAUACGUUCCCGGGUCUUGUACACACCGCCCGUCACACCAUGGGAGUCGGGAAUGCCCGAAGUCAGUGGCCCAACCGGAAGGGGGGAGCUGCCGAAGGCAGGCCCGGUGACUGGGGUGAAGUCGUAACAAGGUAUC